rnacentral:lncRNA from 1 species
CUUGCAAGUUAGACAUUCUAACAUUGCUGAUCCAAGCUUGACGAUGAUAUUGCGAGCCACACACACGUCCGGCCUCUAGGAGUCAUCCACAUGAGCCCACGAAUGACAAUCAGAAGUCCUGAUCCAGGAAAUCAGCACAGUAUGCUAGUAUUGCACUGAUCCUUCUUCGAUGGUCGAUAAGAUAUCUUCUUCUUCUUGAUUUGGACUCUUCCAAAGAUGAGAAGUAGGAGAAGGAGUUUUAGAUGAGACACUCUCGGAAAACUUAC